rnacentral:rRNA from 1 species
AUUGAACGCUGGCGGCAGGCUUAACACAUGCAAGUCGAGCGGGGGAAGGUAGCUUGCUACCGGACCUAGCGGCGGACGGGUGAGUAAUGCUUAGGAAUCUGCCUAUUAGUGGGGGACAACAUCUCGAAAGGGAUGCUAAUACCGCAUACGUCCUACGGGAGAAAGCAGGGGAUCUUCGGACCUUGCGCUAAUAGAUGAGCCUAAGUCGGAUUAGCUAGUUGGUGGGGUAAAGGCCUACCAAGGCGACGAUCUGUAGCGGGUCUGAGAGGAUGAUCCGCCACACUGGGACUGAGACACGGCCCAGACUCCUACGGGAGGCAGCAGUGGGGAAUAUUGGACAAUGGGGGGAACCCUGAUCCAGCCAUGCCGCGUGUGUGAAGAAGGCCUUAUGGUUGUAAAGCACUUUAAGCGAGGAGGAGGCUACUCUAGUUAAUACCUAGGGAUAGUGGACGUUACUCGCAGAAUAAGCACCGGCUAACUCUGUGCCAGCCGCCGCCGUAA